AUGUACAUUACUACAACUUAACAUUAAUGCAAUGGAUCCCAUUAUAAAUAUGCAGUUAAGCGUGCUCGGGAUAGAGUAGUAAUGGGAUGGGUGACCGCCCGGGAAGUCCUAGUAUUUUACAUG
rfam:Picea glauca, whole genome shotgun sequence.